rnacentral:rRNA from 1 species
GAUGAACGCUAGCGGCAGGCCUAAUACAUGCAAGACGAACGGUAAGUUGAGUAGCAAUACUUAGCCAAGAGUGUCGUACGGGUGCGUAACACGUAUGCAACCUACCCUAUACAGGAGGAUAGCCUAGGGAAACCUGGAUUAACCCUUCAUAGUAUUAUUGGAUGGCAUCAUUGAUAAUUAAAACUGAGGUGGUAUAGGAUGGGCAUGCGUCUGAUUAGUUAGUUGGCGGGUAAUGGCCCACCAAGACGAUGAUCAGUAGGGGUUCUGAGAGGAAGAUCCCCCACACUGGCACUGAGAUACGGGCCAGACUCCUACGGGAGGCAGCAGUAGGGAAUAUUGGUCAAUGGAUGCAAGUCUGAACCAGCCAUGCCGCGUGCAGGAAGAAGGCCUUCGUGGGUUGUAAACUGUCUUUUAGUCGGGAAUAAACCGUGCUUACGUGUAAGUAGCUGAAUGUA